UACGUAGGGCGCGAGCGUUGUCCGGAAUUAUUGGGCGUAAAGAGCUCGUAGGCGGCCUGUUGCGUCCGCUGUGAAAUCCCGGGGCUCAACCCUGGGCGUGCAGUGGAUACGGGCAGGCUGGAGGCAGGCAGGGGAGAACGGAAUUUCCGGUGUAGCGGUGAAAUGCGUAGAUAUCAGGAGGAACACCUGCGGUGUAGACGGCUUUCUGGACCAUUGUUGACGCUGAGACACGAAAGCGUGGGUAGCAAACAGG
rnacentral:rRNA from 1 species